GGGGCUGUAGCUCAGUUGGGAGAGCGCUUGAAUGGCGUUCAAGAGGUCGUCGGUUCGAUCCCGAUCAGCUCCACCA
rnacentral:tRNA from 1 species